GGUUUCUCGGCCGGGCCUCUGCAGCAUCGCCCUGCAGCUGGACACGGGCGGCUCCCGGGCGAUAGAAGGCAGAGGGAGAACUGCCAGAAGGAGCCGGCAACUGAAGGGCAGAGUGAGGGGAAGUAAGGAACGGAGUCUUACCAAGGGUCAGUGUGUGGCCCUUGGCUGAUUCCGCCGCGCACACGAGGGACGUGCUUGCGCGGGGAGAAAACAAAGUGGCAGCCCAGACCCAGAGGAGCCUCCGGUCACCUCCUCCCUGUCCGUGCGGCUUGGGGCCCGCGUCCCUUCUCUUCCCGUCCCAGGCUGAGUGCUUCCCCAAGGAACCGGGGAAUUGGAACAGGAUGUGUGUAAACCUGCCCCCCGCCCCGGGGGGAAUGUGAAACAAAAGCAAAACAAGAAAAGAAACUUCCCUUCACGUGCCCUUCACCAAAAGGGCAUUCAUUCUGAGAAGCGGAGCGUUCUCUGAAAAUGGCGCUUCCUUGGCCUGUGAGGGGGAACUAGUCAGUAAAUUCUCAGAAGCAACGACAAAAGAAGAGUCUUGGGAUUAGGACGACUUGUAGGUAGCCGUGAUAUUCAUCAUGAAAACGGAAAUGAUAACCACUGGAAAAUUCCCCAAGAAUAGGUUAUGCUGGGACAGAGGGGAGAAUGGUACUGAUUUUUUUUUUUUUUAAAGGAGCAACCUGCCUCCCAUCAGCGUCCCCCAAAACGACAGCCUGUGGGUCUUAAGCCCUUUCCAGAACAUUCGAUUGUGCACCUAGCAACCCUUUUGGCAGAGACACCAGCCUUGAGGACACAGGGAUGCUGAGCAUGGCCUUCUGAGUCCUAGCAGAAGUGAACAGAAGGGACAGAUUCCAGUUGGUGGCACCUGAAGCUUCAAUUUACAGGGCCUUCUUUAAGAAAAAGAAUUUUAAAAGAUGAAUAAAAAACCAGAUCAGGUGCGUGCUUUCUCCUGCAGGCAGCCCCUGUGCCUUGGAAAAGACCUUGAAUUUUCAGCUUCUCCAGCUAUGCUGACUCCGCCUCUGGUCGGCUCCGGCCACAUUAUGAAAUGGAAGCUUCGUUUUCAGGACCUUGCUUUCUCUUUGGAGCAUUACCUGUUCUUGGAAUGUAAGUAUAGUAGAAAUUCACAGAUGGAGCAUUUGUAGUAGUAAGUUUUGAAGCUCAAAGAAACUUUUCUAACCUAUCAAUAAUAAACAUUCAAAUUUUGAUCAAUCUUGUUAGAGGAAAGACUGAGUUAUCUUUCUAUUCCUCCCAUAGUAAAUAUUACAAAAUUGUCACGUGAAGAGUCAGUCAAGGAGUAGGCAGCCAAAAAAGUGUAGGGAAAAGAAGUAUUGUAGCAGGGUGGCCCCCUCAGCAGCUCCGGAACCCAGAGGAGAUAAGGAGAUGCCCCCAUCACUCUCAGGUACUCCCAACCCUAUAGAGAAUUGCUCUUGGCUUCCUGGGAAAACUCAUUAAGAAAUGUUUCCCUUUCAAAUAAAUGCCUGGGAAACAUUUAAAGUGCCUCAUACUUGGGCGACUGAAUUUAGAUCAGAAAUAUUAGGACAAAAAUCCUCAAUAUUUUAAGGAACAUAGCUGUAACUGUGGUAUUUCACGAAACCAAUAGGGAAGAUACUGUGAUGUUCGAGACUAUCCCCUCAAUUAGGCCAAGAAACAGACCCACCCAUCGCAGGUAUGUCUACAGCCAACAACAAAUUUUGUAACAGAUGUUAAAACCUUUCCAUUGGUCCUGAUUUCCUUACCGAUUAGAAAGGGAACGGGACUGUGGUUAUACUUAGCUCAAAGGAUGUGAAAGCACCUACCACAGUACCCUGCAUAUGUGCUUAAUAAAUGGUAUUUCCUUCCCAGGGCUUUACAAUAUAGGCUCUUGAAUUUUACAGACAGUGUUCUGUGGUGUCUUUCAUCUUUACUAAAUGCUCCAUUUAUGCAACUUGAGUUCCUGCUGGAACCCAAGAGACCCCAUUGUUUUUAAGGCCUCACUGAUUCCUGACUUUUGCUUUAUCUUCAUCACCCAAAGACCAAACCCUGAACUCCUGCUUCCACUGUAGAGUGCCUGUUUUGUGUGAUGUUGAAACUAAUCCAGAGGACAAAUGAGCUGACAAUGUUAGAUCAUUUCUUCACAUAGCUUUUGAUGUUCAAUCUUCCCUGAAAGACUGGCUACACAUCUCAGAGGGGAGCAUGAGGCACCAUGAGACAUGCCUACUAUUUUCUCUCAUACUCAGACUUCUCCAGGCUGCACAUAUUUCUAAUUCUAGAAGUGCCUAUGAGCAUUUAGGGUCAUGCACUGACAUAGUCAAUGGUCUAUGCAAAGCUGUCCAUGUGGGAUCAGAUCACACAUGCUCAAUUAUUCUUUGAGUCCUUUCCUUUGAAAUGGAUGCUUCAAUGCUUCAAAGUUUUCUGAUAUCCAGCAAUGUACUUUUCCAGACCUCUUCCUAAACUAUGUCAAUUUUAAGGUCUACAGUAGGGUUUUUAUCUGGUUUUGAAUGCUGAAUGUAUCUGGCUCAUUUAUUUUAUUAUUAUUUUGUUGUUGUUGUUAUUAUUAUUAUUAUUAUUAUUAUUAUUAUUAUUAUUAUUAUUAUUCUGUGUAUGCUCAUAAAGGGGCAGGGGACUGGGGAGGAGAAGGCAAGUAAGGUAGAAUUCUAGCUCAAAACAAGUUGAUUAAAAGGUAGUGAUUGUCUUUCAGAUCCUCAGCCUCACUCUCAAUCUGAGACUGUUGUUUCCAAAGGCGGAAGGAGAUGGCUUAGAAGUAAAUGGGCAGCACUGUUGGGAUAUAAAAGUGAUUGGCAUGGGCACAGCCCAUAUCAGCAGUACCUUCUGAAUGGAAAUGGAGCUUGCGUUCCUAUCAUGUCGUGUCAUGUCAUGUCAUGUCAUAUAUUAUGGCUUCCUUCAAAUUGCUCUGUGUUCCUAAACUUAAAGGAACAAGGAAAAUGCUUGCAGAAAUGUUAACUCGAAGAAAUAGGCUUGUGGGGGCAUUAGUAUAGCACCUUGAGCUCUUUGGAGUCAAGGCACUGGCUCAAUUUUCCUUGCUAAUAAAUGUUUUUGUCACAAACUCAUACCCAAUUCCAUUAUCUGUGCAAUGCAUAAAUAUUCCUUUGGUUUGUAGCAAGACCAUUUGGUAUUAAAGUUAUUGGAAAACUACUGAUCAAUUACUAAGAUGCAUCCUAAUGAGAAAUAAAGCCUAGACAUGACCCUAGAAGUAAAUAGAUGGUUAAAAAUAACUCGGCAGUUGGCAAUUGGAGUAAACCUUAGAAAUAAUUUCAUCCAAUCCAGUCAUCUUACAGAUAGGGGAACUGAGGCCCAAGUUGCUCCUGUGAUUUGGUCAGAGAAAGCAGCAAACGAGCAUUAAUGUCCAAAUGUUCUGAUGUCUACUUGAAGCUAAGACGUGAUAUGAUAAUAUUUGUACACUGCACUGGAAUGAACUGGGGGGGACUUGAGGACACCUAUACAGGCUAGGUGAAAAUACUGAUUACAUUUUUUAAAAUAUUUUAUUACUAUGAUAAUAAAAAUAAAAUACAGAGCAUUCAAGAUGGGUAUUAAAUAUUAAAUUCAUAUAAAAUCUCAAAAUAAAA